rnacentral:misc_RNA from 1 species
CGCACCUUGCGCCUCUUGGUAUUCCGAGAGGCAUGCCUGUUUGAGCGUCAUUAAAUUCUCAACUUCAAAAGCUUUUUGCUACUUGAAGCUUGGAUAUGGGGGUUGCCGGCUUGAUCAGAGUCAGCUCCUCUUAAAUGCAUUAGUGGAAACCGUUUGUAGUACCACAUUGGUGUGAUAAUUAUCAGCGCUAUUGUGACUACAAGCUCGUGCAAGUCGAUUGGAGAGUGCAUGAACUUGCUCUUUCUGUUCAUUUUUGACUCGCAUGAGUAGAGUAUCUGCUCAUAACCGUCCAUUUUGGACAAAUUUUGACUAUUUUGGCCUCAAAUCAGGUAGGACUACCCGCUGAACUUAA